GGGAAACAUAUGCUCCAUAAAAGGGGUAAAAACUCAUUACACAUAUCAAAGAGUAAACACCUUAGUAAAUGAGAAUGGAAAAAGAAACCAGUCGCUAUUUACUCUAUGUACCAUUUUAGAAUUCACCAAUGUUGGAAAGAAAGAGAAAAAGGAUGAAGAUGAUAUGAUGACCUCUGUUACGAUACGUUCUGAUCAACUUUUGAUUUCACGGCUGAGAGUAUCAGUUGUAGACACAAUCAUCUUGUGCUGAUCUGGGACCAUCACCGAAGUCACUGCAGGCACAAAAUUGUAGACAGGCUGGUCCAUGUAUUGGCCACCACCUGCAGCCACUACUCCCAACUGCCCAAACCCAGUGUGAUACCCACCAGUCAUCAGUGGUACCCCGUAAACCAUUUGCACCGCAUUACCAUAGGUCCCACCAUUCACGUGCCUUUCACGUAACCCUUGUGUGUAAUGAUUCUUCACCAACAAGCUGCUGCUGCUGCUGUCACCACAAACUAUUUUCGGAACUGCAAUCACGCCGCUUCCCUCAUUUUUUGACAUAUCUAAUCCUGAAUUUUCGGGGAAUUGCAAUUGGAGAAGAUCCUCUGUUGCCGUUGGACUCGGGUUCGGGUUGUAAUCCUUAUCGAAUCCGAAUAAAAAAUCCGGAUUCAACGGCGAUUCUGGUAAGCGAAUCGGGUAAAAGAGGAAAAGCCUUAACCUAGCCGGUUUAUUCGAAACUUUCUGCAUGCGAUCAUAUUCAACCAUCAUUUGCUCAACAUCGUCAUCAUCGAUAAGAGAAACCAGUGCAUCGAGAUCUUCGCCAGGCAACUGAUACUUCAUACAAACCUCCGCGUUGCAAUUACAGAGACAAUUCACCUUUGCAGCAACAUCAGAAAACUUGACGUUCCGAUCAACAGUGAGGAUUUUGGUAUCACCGCCAACAUAGGAGAGUUGAUGAUCGUGAGGACGAAGCUGGAUUUUUCCACCAUAGCUACACAUUAGCUUAACCUUUUGAUUCUCCAUUGCUGCUGCUGCCGCCGCCAAAAUUCAAGCGAGAAUAAGGGAGAAGACAGAGGGUUUGGUAUUUUGGGGAUUUUCUUUUUAUUAUUUUUAUGUUUAUAUGAGAGAGAGAGAGAUUAUUAUUAUGAGUGUAGUGCGGCGAUACAAG
rnacentral:misc_RNA from 1 species